rnacentral:misc_RNA from 1 species
GAUGAAGAACGCAGCGAAAUGCGAUACGUAAUGUGAAUUGCAAAUUCAGUGAAUCAUCGAGUCUUUGAACGCACAUUGCGCCCCCUGGUAUUCCGGGGGGCAUGCCUGUCCGAGCGUCAUUGCUGCCCUCAAGCACGGCUUGUGUGUUGGGCCCCGUCCUCCGAUCCCGGGGGACGGGCCCGAAAGGCAGCGGCGGCACCGCGUCCGGUCCUCGAGCGUAUGGGGCUUUGUCACCCGCUCUGUAGGCCCGGCCGGCGCUUGCCGAUCAACCCAAAUUUUUAUCCAGGUUGACCUCGGAUCAGGUAGGGAUACCCGCUGAACUUAAGCAUAUCAAGAAGCGGAGGA